UAACCUGCCCAAGAGACUGGGAUAACACCUGGAAACAGAUGCUAAUACCGGAUAACAACACUAGACGCAUGUAUAGAGUUUAAAAGAUGGUUCUGCUAUCACUCUUGGAUGGACCUGCGGUGCAUUAGCUAGUUGGUAAGGUAACGGCUUACCAAGGCAAUGAUGCAUAGCCGAGUUGAGAGACUGAUCGGCCACAUUGGGACUGAGACACGGUCCAAACUCCUACGGGAGGCAGCAGCA
rnacentral:rRNA from 1 species